AUUGAGCAUAUCAAUAAGCGGAGGAAAAGAAACCAACAGGGAUGCCCCAGUUAACGGCGAAGUGAAGCGGCAACAGCUCAAAUUUGAAAUCUGGCCCCAGGCCCGAAGUUGUAAUUUGCAGAAGGAUGCUUUUGGCGCGGUGCCUUCCGAGUUCCCUGGAACGGGACGCCAUAGAGGGUGAGAGCCCCGUACGGUUGGACACCAAGCCUUUGUAAAGCUCCUUCGACGAGUCGAGUAGUUUGGGAAUGCUGCUCUAAAUGGGAGGUACAUUUCUUCUAAAGCUAAAUAUUGGCCAGAGACCGAUAGCGCACAAGUAGAGUGAUCGAAAGAUGAAAAGCACUUUGAAAAGAGGGUUAAACAGCACGUGAAAUUGUUAAAAGGGAAGCGCUUGUGACCAGACUUGCGUCCGGUGAAUCACCCAGCUCUCGCGGCUGGGGCACUUCGCCGGCACAGGCCAGCAUCAGCUUGCCGUCGGGGACAAAAGCUUCAGGAACGUGGCUCCUCUCGGGGAGUGUUAUAGCCUGUUGCAUAAUACCCUUCGGCGGGCUGAGGUACGCGCUCCGCAAGGAUGCUGGCGUAAUGGUCAUCAGCGACCCGUCUUGAAACACGGACCAAGGAGUCAACCUUUAUGUGCGAGUGUUUGGGUGUUAAACCCCUACGCGUAAUGAAAGUGAACGCAGGUGAGAGCUUCGGCGCAUCAUCGACCGAUCCUGAUGUUCUCGGAUGGAUUUGAGUAAGAGCAUAUAGGGUUGGACCCGAAAAGAAGGUGAACUAUGCGUGUGUAGGGUGAAGCCAGAGGAAACUCUAGGUGGAGGCUCGCAGCGGUUCCUGACGUGCCAAAUCGAUCGUCAAACAUGCGCAUGGGGGCGAAAGACUAAUCGAACCUUCUAGUAGCUGGUUUUCCGCCGAAG
rnacentral:rRNA from 1 species